rnacentral:tRNA from 2 species
AAUGAAGUGCCUGAUUAAAGGGCCACUUUGAUAGAGUGGAUCAAGCGACGUGUCGUCUUCAUUA